rnacentral:rRNA from 1 species
GACGAACGCUGGCGGCGUGCUUAACACAUGCAAGUCGAACGGAAAGGCCCUGCUUUUGUGGGGUGCUCGAGUGGCGAACGGGUGAGUAACACGUGAGUAACCUGCCCUUGACUUUGGGAUAACUUCAGGAAACUGGGGCUAAUACCGGAUAGGAGCUCCUGCUGCAUGGUGGGGGUUGGAAAGUUUCGGCGGUUGGGGAUGGACUCGCGGCUUAUCAGCUUGUUGGUGGGGUAGUGGCUUACCAAGGCUUUGACGGGUAGCCGGCCUGAGAGGGUGACCGGCCACAUUGGGACUGAGAUACGGCCCGGACUCCUACGGGAGGCAGCAGUGGGGAAUAUUGCACAAUGGGCGGAAGCCUGAUGCAGCAACGCCGCGUGCGGGAUGACGGCCUUCGGGUUGUAAACCGCUUUCGCCUGUGACGAAGCGUGAGUGACGGUAAUGUGUAAAGAAGCACCGGCUAACUACGUG